rnacentral:tRNA from 2 species
GGGCGGUUAGCUCAGCUGGGAGAGCAUCACGUUCGCAACGUGGGGGCCGAGGGUUCGAAUCCCUUACCGUCCACCA